GUGCUCGUUCUGGCAGCACAUAUACUAAAAUUGGAAUAGUAUGGAGAUUAGCAUGACCCCUGCACAAGGAUGACUCCCAAAGCACCUUGAGAUACUCAAUAAAUAU